rnacentral:rRNA from 1 species
UACGUAGGGUGCAAGCGUUGUCCGGAAUUAUUGGGCGUAAAGAGCUUGUAGGCGGUUUGUCGCGUCUGCUGUGAAAUUUCGGGGCUCAACCCCGAACUUGCAGUGGGUACGGGCAGACUAGAGUGUGGUAGGGGAGACUGGAAUUCCUGGUGUAGCGGUGAAAUGCGCAGAUAUCAAGCAGAACACCUGCGGCGAAGGCGGCCUUCUGGACGAUGACUGACGCUGAGACGCGAAAGCGUGGGGAGCAAACAGG